UACAGAGGGGGCAAGCGUUGUUCGGAAUUACUGGGCGUAAAGGGCGCGUAGGCGGCCAACUAAGUCAGACGUGAAAUCCCCAGGCUCAACCUGGGAACUGCGUCUGAUACUGGAUGGCUCGAGUUCGGGAGAGGGAAGUGGAAUUCCAGGUGUAGCGGUGAAAUUCGUAGAUAUCGAGAGGAACACCGGUGGCGAAGGCGGCCAACUGGACGAAUACUGACGCUGAGACACGAAAGCGCGGGGAGCAAACAGG
rnacentral:rRNA from 1 species